AUUGAACGCUGGCGGCAUGCUUUACACAUGCAAGUCGAACGGUAACAGGGAGCUUGCUCCGCUGACGAGUGGCGAACGGGUGAGUAAUGCGUCGGAACGUGCCGAGUAGUGGGGGAUAACGCAUCGAAAGGUGUGUUAAUACCGCAUACGAACUGAGGUUGAAAGUGGGGGACCUUCGGGCCUCACGCUAUUCGAGCGGCCGACGUCUGAUUAGCUAGUUGGUGAGGUAAAGGCUCACCAAGGCGACGAUCAGUAACGGGUCUGAGAGGCUGAUGCGCCACACUGGGACUGAGACACGGCCCAGACUCCUACGGGAGGCAGCAGUGGGGAAUUUUGGACAAUGGGCGCAAGCCUGAUCCAGCCAUGCCGCGUGUGUGAAGAAGGCCUUCGGGUUGUAAAGCCCUUUCGGUAGGGACGAAAGCUCUCGACCUAACACGUCGGGAGGUUGACUUAACCUACAAAAGAAGCACCGGCUAACUCUGUGCCAGCAGCCGCGGUAACAC
rnacentral:rRNA from 1 species